GAUGAACGCUGGCGGCGUGCUUAACACAUGCAAGUCGAACGUGAGGGGGAGCAAUCUCCUGAAAGUGGCGAACGGGUGAGUAACACGUAGGUGACCUGCCUCGGAGUGGGGGAUAACAGUUGGAAACGGCUGCUAAUACCGCAUACGGUGAGUAAAGCGGGAGCUUUGCUCGGGAAAACUCUGGUGCUCUGAGAGGGGCCUGCGUCCGAUUAGCUAGUUGGUGAGGUAAAGGCUCACCAAGGCGAUGAUCGGUAGCUGGUCUGAGAGGACGAUCAGCCACACGGGAACUGAGAAACGGUCCCGACUCCUACGGGGGGCAGCAGUGAGGAAUAUUGGGCAAUGGGCGGAAGCCUGACCCAGCAACGCCGCGUGGAGGACGAAGGCCUUCGGGUCGUAAACUCCUUUUAUGGGGGAAGAGUGAGGACGGUACCCUAGGAAUAAGUCACGGCUAACUACGUG
rnacentral:rRNA from 1 species